GAGGGUAUAGCUCUGUGGUAGAGCACAUGCUUAGCAUGCAUGAGGUCCUGGGUUCAAUCCCUAGUACCUCCA
rnacentral:tRNA from 1 species